rnacentral:lncRNA from 1 species
AAUUACGAGUUGGUCAUAGAUGGACGCUUUGGAUCGUUAGAUCCGGAUCCAAUACCUUCUUGUUAAAAUUAUAUAGAGGCGAAAUGUUCAAAUCUUUAUUCUUUUGGAAAGAAGAAAGAAUCACAAAGUUGUUGAGGUUAAUUCACUUAGAUGUUAGUGGCACUUGUCCACAAACAUAAUACUACUCAUGUUGGAUAACAUUCACCGAAGAUCACUCUCGGUUGGACUAUAGUUUAUUUUGAAUAAACACAAGCCCGAAUACUUUGCAAAAUGUUUCAAAGAAUUCAAGAAAUGUAAGUUGAUGAGUAAGACAUCUAAAGUAUUUACCUUCUUAGAUUUGAUCCAAGGAAAAGUAACACUUUAGAUGAGUUUCCUUGAAAGAUAUCAAGGAAAAUAGCAUCAUAAGAUAAUGAAUUUCUCCUUUAGGAGAAGAACAAACUCGAAUAAGAUUUAGUUCGUUAGAUGUUAUCUAUUACCCAUAUAUAGGAUAUAUACUUCUAAAACAAUAUGAUUGUAAAUUAGAAGAUCUUCCAAUAUUUUCAUGACUCCAUAAGAUGUAGUUGGAAAGAAAGACAAAUCUUAAAAAUGUUCAGAUUUGGGGUUGUGUGCUAAUAAACUAUAUUUGUUUGAUAACAAUCUUGAGGGAUAUCCUUAAAUUAGCUUUUGGAUAUCGCUUCUAUAAACCAACUAACAAAUGUUGUUUUGUUGGGUAGUUCAUUAUAAUCCUACAAUGUGAUUUGCCUAAAUGCAAAUGAACGAGAGAUAGAACUCAAAGAAUAGGUUCUUUGAGAGACAAGAUAGUAAUCAACAAAUAUAACAACCUAGUUCCUAUACCACAAGCUCCAAGGUAGUCGAUAAGGAUUUAAAAACCGUCUCAGUUGAAUGGUUUGAACUUUAUGACUAUCUCAUAGAGUUGCACCUCUUAAUUCGAAAGAAAUAAGAAUGAAAAUCCUUAUGACUACAUUGAGUGUAU